rnacentral:lncRNA from 1 species
UCAUCUAAAGGAAUUAUAUUUUACAUUAAAAACAAAAAUCGAACUGAAACUGAUAAACUAUACACUAACAUGAUACAAAAAGAUGAAAGUUUGAAGCUAAUCAUACCAUACAAAUUGAAGAGCAAAUAAUCACAUAAUAAAGUGAUCAAGAAGAUAUUUCCACACCUAGAAAAUCUAUGAAGGGAAGAUUUUUCUUAGGGAUUGAUUGCUCGUCUUGUCGUACAAUCCUUGUUCCUUCCUUGGCACCAAUAUGCAUCAACUCUCCAUUGAUUUUACCGUGUUUUCUACUGAGAAAACGAUGAUCCAAAUAACCAAAGGAAUUUGAGACAGCAGAAUCACCAUGGAUUGAACUGUUAGAGCUAAAAUUAUAUUGGUUACUUCCUUUUCUUGCAGUAAUAUCAGCAGCAGAAGAUAAAUUAUAAGUUGUCAAAUGGCUUUUACAAGGCCAAGAUGUAUAUGAACCCGAGGAGGAGGACCCAGUAAAGAUUCUAUCUUUGUUUUGGUUGUGGAAUUCAAGAAUCCCACUGUCUGGGAAUCUAGAAUUCUUUUGUCCAACAAUAUAGGAAUGAGAGUUGGAGUCAUCUUGAGAACUUUUCUUACCAGAAAUCUUGGAUUGUUCUCUUUGUUUUCUGGCCAUAAUGACAUGCCAAUAAUUCUUAACAGCAUUGUCUGUUCUACCUGGAAAAAAUCUAGAUAUAAAUGCCCACUUAUUUCCAUGUAUUCUAUGGGCUGCAAGAAGCCUUUCUUCUUCUUCUUCAGUGAAUGGCCUCCUGUUUAUUCUUGGAUCGAGUUGAUUAAACCAUCUCAAUCUGCAACUUUUACCUGCUCGCACGUGAUAAACACAUAAUUUAAAUAAAUAAGUAUAAUAUAUGUUUAACAUCUUGAGCUUUUAAAUAAUAAAAAAUCAGCACCGUAUAAGAGGAAUAGGAUGUUUCUUCUGUUGGGAAUCUACUUAUACAUGCACAGCGGAAUUUAAAAUAAUUUUCGAUUCCCACCAAGAAUCGCCUUUGUGUUUAGAUAGAAAUUGUGAUAAGAUUGUACCUUUUUCAGAUCUGCA